AGAAAACAGAGGGCUGAAUUUUUAAAGUUUCGUCUCCACAGAGUGAUAAGGUCAUGGCUGGAUAGUACUAGCGAGUUGACUUCUAAUUGCAAGUCAUUGUUAUUCAUUUUCCUUUACAAGAAAUAGCAGAAACCUCAGAAUGAGAUGUGCAUUUUCUGAUCUAUCUGAUCCCAUUCUUGGAUUCCAAAGAACGAGGAGAAAAAUCUCUGUGUGCAUAUGCAUAUCUGAAGAAUUGUUUCAGUUAUAUGAAGGCAUAUAUAUCAGAUGAUAGACAAGAUAACAAGAUGCAUACAGCUUAGCUAGGUUCAAAUCUUACCAACGGAAAAAUACAGGAUAUAGAUAUUUACUUUUGGGUUAGAACACUUGAAGAACCUACAAGUUGCCUUUAUUUUGCUUUCUAAAUUUAUAAUUCUAUGAAGGACUUCAUCAAUAUUUGGACGCUCAGACAUUGUAGGAUGGAGACAGUCCAAUCCAAGUUUUGUAAUUGCAAUUGCAGCCAAUUUGGAGCACCCAGUGGUUGUUAAUUUUUGAUGAACUGCAUGUCCUUUGGCAGAGUGAAUUGUGCUCGCCCAGUGAGUAAUAUGCCAGGGAACGCUAGAUCCUGGAAAUGAGACGACCUUCUCCUUCAUAAUUAGCUGCAAUAUCAUCACUCCCAAGCUGUAUAUGUCAUUUGGCUUGGUUCCAGUUAUUGUAACUGAAAAGAGAAGAAAUGCAAUUAAAGAGUUGAUGGUGUUCAAUUAUGAAGAAAAUUCUUACAAUCAGCUGGCAGGCAGAAGGCAGAGUUGAAAAAUAGCACACAACACAGCAUGAAACAAAGAAAAUCAGUCAAGAAAUUGCAAGAAAAACAAGAUCAAAGUGUUUGUGAGCGAAAUGUCUCACCUGCCAUUGAAGCCUGGUUUUUGUAUCUAUUUGGCGAGAGACCUUGACAGCUACUAGCAUACCAUUAUAGUUUCCAAGAUAAACACUGCCAAAUCCUCCAUGCCCAAGCAAAUUUUUUGCACUAAACCCAUUAGUGUAUGCACUUAACUCGGACGAGCUAAACGAUAUCACAGCAGCUGAAUCUGUAAAAACAUGAAUUAUUCAACUAUUUUAUAUUUUAAGAAAAUCCCAUAGCUAGUUAGCGAGGAAAAAUUGUUUGUAUUCAUUUCAAACAUCUGCAACGCCCUUGAUGUAAUGGAGAAGGAGAGAGAUAGAGAAAGAAGAAAAAAUAAGAACAAUUAAUCAUUACCACCUUCAGUACUGAUACGAUCUGCAUAUCGACUACAACAACUCAAGGAAUUACCCAUUUCUAGCAAAAAGUUCUCCUGUUACACUGCUUCAGAAUUGCUUACAGUGGCAGAGGAAGGCAUUGAAGUAGAAGAGUAAGAAAUGGAAAAUUUUUUUAAGCAAAUUAUUUUGAUUAAGAACUUAGUGUAAGACAAAAUGGUGCCAUUUCAUAACAUUCCAGUCCCUGAAAUUUGUUGUUACGUGCACAAGAAGCUUGGAAUAUGGCGCCAAUUUUUAUCAGGGGAUAUCUAUGUGUGUUUAGUAUAUCAGUAGGCUUUGGAUUUUACUAGUCAGAACAAGAGAGGACUGGGAUUGAUGUUGGUUCCAUUGGUGGACGGCUCUUUCUAUGUGGAUGGGAGAAGAAAAAUGUAAGUGGAGAACGUAGGGCCCAAGAAUUGGAAGGAAAGAAUAAUUUUGAAAGAAAGCGCAGGGUGGAAUUGCGAGGAAGGACCUUUUGGAGAGAGUGACAAGUUUCGUCUCCAUAUAGGGAUAAGGUCAUGGCUAGAUAGUGCUAGCGAGUUGACUACAAAUUCGAAGUCAAUAUUAUACGUUUUCCUUUGCAGGAAAUAACAGAAACCUUAGAAUCAGAUAUGCAUUUUCUGAUCUAUCUGAUCCCAACAAUGGAUUCCAAAGAAAGAGGAGAAAAAUCUGUAAGUUGGGUCUUUCUAGCUGUAAAAGGAUAUAAAUUUUAUGUUGAAAUUGUUCCUAGCUAGUUCAAUUUGAUUUCUUGAUUUUAUUU